rnacentral:rRNA from 1 species
AGCAGCCGCGGUAAUUCCAGCUCCAAUAGCGUAUAUUAAAGUUGUUGCAGUUAAAAAGCUCGUAGUUGAAUUUCGAGACCGGCUUAUUGGUCGUGCUUUUGUACGUACUGGUAUAAUCGGUUUCUCCUUUCUGACGAACUAUAAUGCCAUUAAUUUGGUGUUAUAGGGAAUCAGGACUGUUACUUUGAAAAAUUAGAGUGUUUAAAGCAGGCUCACGCUUGAAUACAUUAGCAUGGAAUAACGGAAUAGGACGUUUGAUUCUAUUUUGUUGGUUUCUAGGAUCGACGUAAUGAUUAAUAGGGAUAGUUGGGGGCAUUAGUAUUCAAUUGUCAGAGGUGAAAUUCUUGGAUUUAUUGAAGACUAACUACUGCGAAAGCAUUUGCCAAGGAUGUUUUCAUUAAUCAAGAACGAAAGUUAGGGGAUCGAAGACGAUCAGAUACCGUCGUAGUC